rnacentral:lncRNA from 1 species
ACCCGGCAAUUAUUCCCAAGGAUGGCUGUUUCACAAUAGUGUUGCAUUAAUUAUUGGAUAAUUCGUACAAGGUAAUGCGUGUAGGUUUAUGGAUGGACAGUGUGGGGACAUGGAUCUCGAUUAAUUGGAGGUUGAUCGUGGGGCCCAUGGAUGCAAGUUGCAUGGAUGUUCCACACCCCAGCCACGUAGACUAAGGUUCAUAGAAGGAUUUAGAGAAGUUGCCGUAUUUAGUGUGAAUCUCACUUUUGGAUAGGAUUGAUGGUGUCCAGAAACAAGAUUUAUUAUAUAAAAAAUUUAAAUUAAAUCUCAUAUCAAUUUUUUGAAAAUCCUACCUUAUAUAAUAUCUUAUUGAGAAAUUUUUUUCUAAAAAUAAAUUAUUUUUGAGGUCUACAAUAUAUCAUUCACUGGUUGAGCGAUUAAGGCUAAUCUUACAU